rnacentral:rRNA from 1 species
AUGGUGAAGCUCGCAUUCGGGAGCUGCGGUGACUCCUUCAGCGCCACGUCCGUCAGGGCGUAUGUGGCGGAGUUCAUCGCCACCCUCCUCUUCGUGUUUGCCGGCGUUGGGUCCGCCAUUGCCUAUGGGAAACUCACCGAUGAUGGCGCGCUCGACCCGGCUGGCCUUGUGGCGAUCGCGAUCGCCCACGCCUUCGCCCUCUUCGUCGGUGUCGCGAUCGCUGCCAACAUCUCCGGCGGCCACCUCAACCCCGCCGUGACCUUCGGCCUUGCCGUCGGCGGCCACAUCACCAUCCUCACCGGGAUCUUCUACUGGGUGGCCCAGCUGCUCGGCUCUACCGCCGCCUGCUUCCUCCUCAAGUUUGUCACCCACGGAAAGGCCAUCCCGACGCACGGUGUGGCGGCGGGCAUGAACGAGUUCGAGGGCGUGGUGAUGGAGAUCGUCAUCACCUUCGCGCUGGUGUACACGGUGUACGCCACGGCGGCGGACCCGAAGAAGGGGUCCCUCGGCACCAUCGCGCCCAUCGCGAUCGGCUUCAUCGUCGGCGCCAACAUCCUCGCCGCCGGCCCCUUCAGCGGCGGCUCCAUGAACCCUGCCCGCUCCUUCGGCCCGGCCGUCGCCGCCGGCAACUUCGCUGGAAACUGGGUCUACUGGGUCGGGCCUCUCAUCGGAGGCGGCCUCGCCGGGUUCGUCUACGGCGACGUGUUCAUCGCGUCCUACCAGCCAGUCGCCGACCAGGACUACGCGUAA